UGCAGUCGAACGAUGAAGCUUCUAGCUUGCUAGAAGUGGAUUAGUGGCGCACGGGUGAGUAAGGUAUAGUUAAUCUGCCCUACACAAGAGGACAACAGUUGGAAACGACUGCUAAUACUCUAUACUCCUGCUUAACACAAGUUGAGUAGGGAAAGUUUUUCGGUGUAGGAUGAGACUAUAUAGUAUCAGCUAGUUGGUAAGGUAAUGGCUUACCAAGGCUAUGACGCUUAACUGGUCUGAGAGGAUGAUCAGUCACACUGGAACUGAGACACGGUCCAGACUCCUACGGGAGGCAGCAGUAGGGAAUAUUGCGCAAUGGGGGAAACCCUGACGCAGCAACGCCGCGUGGAGGAUGACACUUUUCGGAGCGUAAACUCCUUUUCUUAGGGAAGAAUUCUGACGGUACCUAAGGAAUAAGCACCGGCUAACUCCGUGCCAGCAGCCGCGGUAAUACGGAGGGUGCAAGCGUUACUCGGAAUCACUGGGCGUAAAGGGCGCGUAGGCGGAUUAUCAAGUCUCUUGUGAAAUCUAAUGGCUUAACCAUUAAACUGCUUGGGAAACUGAUAGUCUAGAGUGAGGGAGAGGCAGAUGGAAUUGGUGGUGUAGGGGUAAAA
rnacentral:rRNA from 2 species